ACUCAUUCAGUGUUCAUCCCUUCAUUUUAGCUCUCCAAAGAGUUGCUGUGUCAGGCUUCUGAUGUGGAUGCCUGCAGAUCAUUUUCGGGCAACUCACCAGAGGACUGUGAUCAUGAUCUUGUCCCUGACAAAAUGUCAAGUUUAGAAAAAUGUGUUUCAUGUGGAGGACCUUUUGCACCUCUGAAAUGGAGUGGUGUGAGAUGUAAAGUUUGCAACCAGUCCUGGCACAAAAAGUGUUAUGUUAAACACAAGGUGGACAUCACUGAACUUCUGCAAGUGGUCUGUACAGAACCAAGUUCAAGUGAGGUGGUAUCAUCAGAAGAGGAGUAUGUUCCUGAUUCCAUAGAUGAUUCAAACAGCUCGUGCGAUGACAGAUCAGAGCCUUUAAAAAUCAGUUACAA